ensembl:lncRNA SNHG17 small nucleolar RNA host gene 17
ACCGCUCUAGGCCGCAGCUCGCGCUCUCGUCUGUAUUUCCGCCGGCGCGAAACGAGCGUAGCUUCCUUGUCGUGUGGCCUCAGUCCUUCGCCGUCCCUCGCCGUCCUUCGCCAUCGCACGCCACCGCACCCCAUCUCUCGAAAUCUGCAGACAUCUUGAUUUUUCCCACGCUGUCUGUCAGGUCUCCGCCGCCACUCGACGCCAGGGCGCCGGGCCUUGUGGGCUGUGCUGCACCUCGGACGGCUUCGCACCAGCCAGCGCCCUCUCUCUCCUGCAGCACUCUGAUCUGCACCCCCUGAGGGGCUUCCACUGUCCGCGGGGUGAGAAUGCCCCUGGGAGUGUCACAUGACUGCCGCCCCAUGUGUGUGAGAGGCGUCCUCUGGGAGAGCAUGGAUCCUGAGGUCCCAGGAACAUCCCGAGAGCCAAGUUCCCAGAUGCCAGCCAAGGGCCAUCUGACCUGUUUUGAAUCUCAAUUUCCUGAUACAGAAAACAAAGGAUUGUCAGCUGACCUCUGUCCUGUGUGCCCAGUGGCCCCAGGUGACGUGUCUUCAAGAAGAGGCUGAGCUGCGGUGCUUGUAAGGGUCUCAUUCUGUCACCCAGGCUGGAGUGCAGUGGUGCAAUGAUGGCUCACUGCAGCCUCGACCUGGGCUCAAGUGAUCCUCCACCUCAGCUUCCUGAGUAGCUGGGACCACAGAGUCAUGUGCUGUUCCUGGGGCUUGGAUGAUGUAGGGGAAGCAAGGUGAAAGUGGUAUCCCGUGGUUCCACGUUCUGUCCUGCUGUGGGGCUGUCCCUCACAUGCUUUCAGUGGCUGUUGCAGAGGAAGAGCCUCCGGAAAUCUGCGUCUCAGCCUUAGAUCCAAGGACAGUCCAAGGAAGUCCUAAGACCAUGGAGUUGGUGAUCUGGGAUCUGGGUUUGCUGAUAUUUCUCACCGUGAAUCUCUUGGUGGUGUUUGUGGGCACGAGAGGGGCAGAGAAUGGAGAGUGAGGCUACCACAUGAAGCGUCACCAGAGCUGCUCCCUGCUGCCUGCUCAGAGCACCCCGGAUCCACUGUUCAAUCUGCACAAGAUUCGGGGUCCAGACAUGGGAGACUUCAGCUGCCUCAGAGGACCGUGGACAGGGAAGGCCAGCCUCGCAUCCCUCUGUCCAUGCCUGGAAUGACUUUAAUAACCAAGAGUUUUAUUUUUGAAUUUGUAGCUGUCGUUCACUUUUUACCCACCCAUUCAAUAAACCUUACAGAAUU